UCGGGAAUUUUGGGCAAUGGGCGAAAGCCUGACCCAGCAACGCCGCGUGAGGGAUGAAGUAUUUCGGUAUGUAAACCUCGAAAGAAUGGGAAGAAUAAAUGACGGUACCAUUUAUAAGCACCGGCUAACUCCGUGCCAGCAGCCGCGGUAAUACGGAGGGUGCAAGCGUUAUCCGGAUUCACUGGGUUUAAAGGGUGCGUAGGCGGAUAGGUAAGUCCGUGGUGAAAUCUCUCGACUUAAUCGGGAAACUGCCAUGGAUACUAUUUAUCUUGAAUGUUGUGGAGGUUAACGGAAUAUGUCAUGUAGCGGUGAAAUGCUUAGAUAUGACAUGGAACACCAAUUGCGAAGGCAGUUAACUACACAAAUAUUGACGCUGGUGCACGAAAGCGUGGGGAUCAAACA
rnacentral:rRNA from 1 species